rnacentral:rRNA from 1 species
UACGUAGGUGGCAAGCGUUAUCCGGAAUUAUUGGGCGUAAAGAGCGCGCAGGUGGUUAAUUAAGUCUGAUGUGAAAGCCCACGGCUUAACCGUGGAGGGUCAUUGGAAACUGGUUGACUUGAGUGCAGAAGAGGGAAGUGGAAUUCCAUGUGUAGCGGUGAAAUGCGUAGAGAUAUGGAGGAACACCAGUGGCGAAGGCGGCUUUCUGGACUGUAACUGACGCUGAGGCACGAAAAGUGUGGGGGAGCAAAACAGG